ACGCAUGCAUAUAUAAAUACACACACACAUAUAUAUAUAUACACACACACAGUUAGGUUUUAUGAAUGUGACUCAUGAGUGAAACAUUUAUAUAAGUCCUUGGGAUAUAUAUUGUUAGGUUUUGUGAAUGUGACUGAUGGUUUGUACUCACAAAGCACCUUUAUUUAUGUCUCCCAUUAAUUUUAUACAGUGGGGUCUCAUUACUUACCUAGUCACUCUUAAGUAACAAGAAAUAUUAACUUACUUUAAGUUGCAUCAUAGACACGCCUAGAUAAAAGCAAAAGUCAGAUUUGAUUUAAAAUGACACUUCCUCCUUCUAUGUAUCCAGGCCUGGCUAUCUUGCAGGCUGGCUAUCUCUUGUUGUGGGAGGGAACCAUUCCUUCUAUCACCCCCUUCUAUUCUCACUUCAGUUAGAUUGAUUUGAAGGCCCGUACAGACAGAGCAUGGAAGGAGGACAGUUCAUACUUGAUUGAUAAUGCC
rnacentral:lncRNA from 1 species